rnacentral:rRNA from 1 species
UACGUAGGGGGCAAGCGUUGUCCGGAAUUAUUGGGCGUAAAGAGCGUGUAGGCGGCCAGAUAAGUCCGCUGUGAAAUCUCGAGGCUCAACUUCGAGCUGUCGGUGGAAACUAUCUGGCUAGAGUCCGGAAGAGGAGAAUGGAAUUCCUGGUGUAGCGGUGAAAUGCGUUGAUAUCGGAAGGAACGCCGGUGGCGAAGGCGGUUCUCUGGGACGGUACUGACGCUGAGACGCGAAAGCGUGGGGAGCGAACAGG